rnacentral:rRNA from 1 species
AUUGAACGCUGGCGGCAGGCUUAAAACAUGCAAGUCGAACGAGUGGCGGACGGGUGAGUAAUGCUUGGGAAUCUAGCUUGUGGAGGGGGAUAACUACGGGAAAAUGUAGCUAAUACCGCGUACCAUAGGAUGAGCCCAAGUGGGAGUAGGUAGUUGGUGAGGUAAAGGCUCACCAGGCCGACGAUCUCUAGCUGGUCUGAGAGGACGACCAGCCAAAUGGGGACGGAGACCCGGCCCAGAAUCCUACGGGAGGCAGCAGUGGGGAAUAUUGCGCAAUGGGGUAAACCUGACGCAGCCAUGCCGCGUGAAUGAAGAAGGCCUUCGGGUUGUAAAGUUCUUUCGGUAGCGAGGCGUUAAAUACAGAAGAAGCACCGGCUAACACCGUGCCAGCAGCCGCGGUAAUAC